CCUCGGGAAAAGCCGCUGUGCCCGAGGGCCGUGGAGUGCGCCGGCCUUUCCCUCGGAAUUCAGGUGUCCUUGUGUAAAUUCGCAUUUCAGGUUCCUCUUUCAGCUCGAGCCUCUGUUUACCUUUACUCUGGAACCUUUGCAGAGGUGGAGUCCGCCCCGUGCAGAGGCGUUUCACACUGCAGUUGGAUAGCAGCGGCAGUUUGGAGCUUGGAAAAAUAGGAUGGGUUUUGGUAACGCCUCUCAAGGGUGCUAAGAGUUUUUACUCUGUUUUUGGAAUAUCGUUUGAGAUGAGAAAUUAGGUUCUUUUCAGAGGCACUUCAGUAAUUCAACUAUAUGAUUUCGUUGACUUCAUGGUUGAAAUAGUUACGCAUAUUUUUAAUGUACCAAGAGCUACAAUUAAUCUCUGUUCUGCAGUUAUAAAUACUGCUGAAAUUUUAACUCUUUCAAAAUCAAUGGCAAAGCUCUGUCUUCAGUGGACCAAGGACUCACAGAAUCUGAAAAGGAGGUGAUUGAAAAGGAAAAUGGGAAGUCAGAGGCAGAUUGUACUUAUGCUGAGAAGCGUGGACAGACUCACCCUAUCUAUACACAACAGACAGAAGAUAGAGACUGGGAAAACAGCUGAUUGUGAGGCUAUCUGUCUUUUCAGGCAGAGGGCCCAGAAAGUGAAUUUUGGAAAAGGGAGAGAGAAAGCCCUAAAUUCUGAGAAUCUCUGAAUACAUUUGGCUAGAAGAUGAGUAUGAGAAGCCUGAGAAAUGGACACGGUAGUAUUUCACAGAAAAAUAAGAGCUUUUCUCUCUUCCAGAGCUUGAUGCAAGAAGAACUUUGAAAUAUUUGGUAGAGCCACAUGUGACUGAUCAAAAUAUUCACCCUAAGCACACAAAACAAGAGCGUUAAGAUUUGCUGGAGAUGGGACUCACUUGCAGAAGAACGUGGCUUUAUUAGAACUUUGGAAACCUUAAUCCAAAGGUUACAAAUUUCUACAAUAAAUGAAAAUGGGAUCACCCUUGUUCCAGUUGAUGCAUACUCCUGAUCUGGACCCCACAGCUCAAGCAAGACUGAGGGACAAAUCUUGUCAGGCAACGUGGUAAGAAGCUGGAUCAUCUUUCUUCAUCUGCUCACUGCCUUCACAGAAUUUGAAAGUGUGACGAAGUAUUUCAUCCCUUUACAGGAUUAGGGAUACGGAUUUGCCUGUCAUGGAGGUGCUGCUGGCUGGGUCACUGCCUGGUAGAGGGUGUCUCUUAGACCUGAUGUAACCUGAAGCAUGUGCUUUCUUAGGAGGUCUACAGCUGGGCUGGAGAACUGCAAACACUCAUCCUUUCACUCCUGUCAUCUGCUUCCACAUGACUGCAGUGCCUGUGCUGUGCUCUCAGCUCACUGACCCUAAAACGUUCCUUGCAAUGUUUUGUACUGAGCUGCUGCAGAGCAGACUUUGCUUUUGGUGGCAGUAUCCCUUGUUGCUGCAUCAUUUAUAGAAGAGAUGACUUCAUCCUUGCCUUUAUUCCACUGGGACCAGCUGCUCUACACGCAGGAACAAAAAGUGGCAAAUACCUAUAACCUCUUUCAAUUUCCUGUUGAAGGUCUACAUCACAUGAACUUCUUGGGGUUUUUUGAGAGGUAAAGCUUUUUAAU